AGCGAUUGAACUCCGGCCCUGGCGCUGGCGAGGCGGGCGGCGGAACCACUGAGCCAAAGCCCUGGUCCCCACCGCGGAUCCUUUAGGUUGUGCACUCGGUGAGGCGCGGUGCCUGUUUGGCUGUGAACCUCGCUCCCGGCUUUCCUCGGCCUCUGCCCUAGGGUGAGCGUACGAACUAAGAUGGCGGCGUUCGUGUGCUUCUGUGCUUACCGCAGUUGGCAAGGCCGCUACAGGAUAACUCUGCUAACGAGUGUUCAAGAAACUCGCCGGUUUAUGUGUGUGCCAGUGAGCCAGAACAUCCCAAGGCAAUUAGAGAACACAUAAUCUCCAGUAGGAAUGGUCUGCACCCUCUUUCACCUGGAAGAAGAAGCUAUAGAAGAUAGAAGAUCCUUGCACAGAGUCACCAAAGAGUUCCCACGUGGACUUCUAAUGAGAACUCUAGCAGCUUGUCUGGUGUGCUCCUUCCCGGCUGUUUCUCAUGGCUGUUGAGCUCCUCGGAGCAGUUGGUUUCCUGCACAUCUAACAUGGAGAUUCAAUGGCUCCCAACCACUCUGGGCACUGCACUCCCACCCAUGCUCAGUGCUAUGCUCCAGCUCUUGCAGCUGCCAUGGAGAUGGACCUUCCCCACUGGUCAUGACAGUAAGGAGGCAUUCAUGGAUAAGAGCACAGCUUUAACACUGUAGUAAACCAUCAUGAAGUGCUUGUUAUUUAAUCUACCUAUUUAUUUCCAAUUGAAUAACUAACAGCAUAAUUCUGUUAAAUGGAGUAGCAGAACAAAGAGAAACAAAUCUGGAGCCAAGUGGGGCUCUUCAUUCUGAUGGGAGAAAAAGACAACCAGGUAACUGCAGUGAAUUUAUUUAUAGUGGUAGAGAUAAGGGAACUGCAGGGGGAGGUAAAAGGGGCUGGUCUGUAGCCAGAGUCAGGACAGUAACUAAGGUCUGCAUAACAUCAUGCUUUGAUGUUUUGUUGUUGUCAUUGUUCCAGGGUUUGAACUCAGGACCUUGCACUUGUGAGGCAGGUGCUGGCACCACUGAGCUAAAUCCCUGGCCAUAUACUUAUAUGUUUUUAUGGGGAAUGGAUCGUGAGGAAGACAUCUUUUGUUUCUCUUUUCUUUGUUUUUUCUUAAUCCCCCACAACCAUGAUUCUCACUCAUGGAUCCUUCAGCCACGCUGGCCAUGGCAAUUGGUGCCUGAAACAGACAGUAUGAGAAUAAGAGAGGAAAACAGUCCAGAGUAAAAGAGAAGUUCAAAAUACAGACUUAUGACAAUAACUAUAACACAAGAUUAUGCUACUUUCUAUUAAUAGCUUGUUAUAAAAGAUUGCACUUACAGUAAAGUCCAGAGAUCUGCACUGGAAAGGCAACUGGGCUAAUAAGACAGCCAAUAUUUUGGCCCUGGACCUCCAAGGUCAACAAAGAUCCAGGACAUGAAGGAUCCUUUUCUAUAUUUUUGGAGGAGUUAGAUCCAGUGGGAGAUGAGCCAUGGAAUGCAAAAUCACAGAAGCAAGUGAAGAUUUUGGGCUACUGGAGUCUCCUCUAAGAGGUGACUUUUAGGCCCUUUCAGUCCUGGACAAAAAACUGAAUGAAAGAAGCACAAACCGUGGUAAAAUUUCUCAUUUAUUAAAUGUGUGUGUGGGGGGAAUCAGAUGGCUACAUACUGGAGGAUGAUUUAUUUACAGAGCACCUUGACUACCACUAUUGCCUUUUCUGAACAAGUAGGAAAGGCUUCAAUCCAGCCUGUAAAGGUUUCAAUUAGGAUUGAUAUCUGUUUAAAU